UGCACAGCCUUUCAGGAGCUUGGGUAACGUCAGCGCGCAUGCGCGUUGUGGUUCCUCCUAGUUUCAGUUACGUCUCCUCCUCCUCUGGCUGUGAAUGUGACCGGCAGAGGCGCCUCAUCGCCCGCACCCCACCUCCUCCAGAGCCCCGUCCCGUCCUCCCCUCCUCCUCCUGUUUCCCCGGCAUCGGCUGGCGUCAGCUCUCCUCGUUUUUCAAACAAUAACAGUCGGUGUGUGCCCACCGAGCGCGGGAGGGAGGCCGGCAACCGGCAGUGAGAAGGCACCGGGGUACGGAGGAGGAGGAGGCGGCAUGGCAGCCAGCUUCGGCAAGAUUCAGAUCGGGAUCUAUGUGGAGAUCAAGAGGAGCGAUGGUCGAAUUCAUAAAGCCAUGGUGACAUCUCUGAAUGAAGACUGCGAGAGCAUCACUGUUGAGUGGAUUGAAAAUGGGGACACGAAAGGAAAAGAGAUUGAUUUGGAGAGUAUAUUCUCCCUUAAUCCUCAUCUGGCUCCCGAUGAAGAAAUUGAUCCUGGCCCCGAAAUGCCUCCUCCCCCUACUCCAACCACAAAAGUUAACAAAAUUGUGAAGAAUCGGCGCACUGCAACUCCAGCUAAGAACGAAGCGCCUGUAAGGGACAAUAGAGCACUCGGUUCAGCCCGGGCACGGCCAAGCCAACCCAUCGAACCGCCGGCCUCUGCACAGCAGAAUGGUAGUGUUUCAGAUAUAUCUCCAGAUCAGCCUGGAAAAAAGGACUUUGGCCCUCCUUCCAGAAGAAAAUCUAAUUGUGUGAAAGAAGUAGAAAAGCUUCAGGAAAAGAGAGAGAGAAGACGGUUACAACAGCAAGAACUGCGAGAGAAGAGAGCUCAGGAAGUUGAUACCACAACCCCAAACUAUGAAAUUAUGUGUAUGAUAAGAGAUUUCAGAGGAAGUUUGGAUUACCGGCCUUUAACUACUGCAGAUGUUAUUGAUGAGCAUCGAAUUUGUGUGUGUGUUAGGAAGCGUCCGCUAAAUAAGAAAGAGAACAGUGUGAAAGACUUGGAUGUCAUUACAAUUCCUAGUAAAGAUGUGGUAAUGGUACAUGAACCUAAGCAAAAAGUGGACCUCACCAGAUUCUUAGAAAACCAAACGUUUCGCUUUGACUAUGCCUUUGAUGAAACCUCACCAAAUGAAAUGGUCUACAGGUUUACUGCUCGACCUCUUGUAGAAACCAUCUUUGAAAGAGGAAUGGCCACUUGUUUUGCAUACGGACAGACUGGAAGUGGGAAAACUCAUACCAUGGGUGGUGAUUUUUCUGGAAAAAAUCAAGACUGUUCAAAAGGAAUAUAUGCACUUGCAGCAAGAGAUGUAUUUCAGAUGCUAAAGAAACCAAAUUAUAAGAAACUAGAGCUUCAAGUAUACGCUACAUUUUUUGAAAUCUACAGCGGUAAAGUUUUUGACUUAUUGAACCGGAAAACCAAAUUAAGAGUUCUGGAAGAUGGCAAGCAGCAGGUGCAGGUGGUUGGCCUACAGGAAAGGGAAGUGAAGUGUGUAGAAGAUGUUCUCAAGCUCAUUGAGAUUGGCAAUAGCUGCAGGACGUCAGGUCAGACCUCCGCUAAUGCACACUCCUCUAGAAGUCACGCUGUGUUUCAGAUAAUCUUACGACGGAAGGGGAAACUCCAUGGUAAAUUUUCUCUGAUUGAUUUGGCUGGAAACGAGAGAGGCGCUGAUACCUCGAGCGCAGACAGACAGACACGACUCGAAGGGGCCGAGAUAAACAAGAGUUUAUUAGCACUAAAGGAAUGCAUUCGUGCACUUGGUCGAAAUAAGCCUCAUACGCCAUUCAGGGCCAGUAAACUGACGCAGGUUCUGAGGGAUUCUUUUAUUGGUGAAAACUCCCGUACCUGCAUGAUUGCUACCAUUUCUCCUGGAAUGGCAUCUUGUGAAAAUACCUUAAACACCUUAAGAUAUGCAAACAGGGUAAAGGAAUUUGGGAUUAGUCCAUCGGAUAUUCCCUUCUCUCAGGGUAGCGGAAGUCGCUCUGAUCUCUCUCCUUCCUAUGAGUAUGACGACUUCUCUCCUACACUCACCAGAGUGAAAGAACUGACUGUGGAUCCGAACGCUGCAGGAGACCUCCGCCCCAUGUUACAUCAUGCCCAGAAUCAGCUGGAUGACCUGGAGUCACUGUGGGGAGUGGGCAGUUCUCCUCAGAGAGAUGACCUCAAGCUGUUAUGUGAACAAAAUGAAGAAGAGGUUUCCCCACAGCUGUUCACCUUCCAUGAAGCAGUGUCUCAGAUGGUGGAGAUGGAGGAACAGGUAGUAGAAGAUCACAGAGCUGUGUUCCAGGAAUCUAUACGAUGGCUUGAAGAUGAGAAAGCUCUGUUAGAAAUGACUGAAGAGGUGGACUAUGAUGUAGAUUCCUACGCUACACAACUUGAAGUAAUCUUAGAGCAGAAGAUUGAUAUCCUAACUGAAUUACGAGACAAAGUGAAAUCGUUCCGAUCUGCUUUACAAGAGGAGGAACAAGCCAGCAAGCAAAUAAACCCCAAGAGACCACGAGCCCUCUAAGGGAAGGCUUUAAUGAAGGAUGACCUUAUAAAGAACUUUUUCCUGUAACAUAGCAUUAUUAUUAUUAUAUUAUUAAACUGUGGCCGUAAAACCCCAUUACUUGAACCGUUAAGUCAACUUUUUAUAAUGUCAGUGGGAAUUUCCUCCCAUUUCACCUGAAUGGGAUAUCCGUUUUGGGCUAACCACUACACUGACGCCUAGACAAGCUUCAGAUCCAAACGGCACAAACAGUAGGGACUACGAGGCACUUUGUCCAAAAUACGCCAUUCAAUGUCUUAUUUUCCAAAUGUUUGUCUUUUUUUCUGUUUCAUUUAUUAUUUUUUUUUUAAUAAAUAAUUUUAAAAUUGUAUACGGGAGAAAACCUUCCACUCACUUGUCAUCGAAGAUUCCAUAUUGCUGCAGAAUGAGAACUGAUGGUUCUAAGCUACUUGCAUGCUUGCCUAUUCAUCCGUGAUUGUACAGAUACUAUGGACGAGCUGUGCGCACCUCCGAUGUGCCUUUCCGAAGGCUAUUGACCCAACGUGUUUCCAUUAUGCACAGCCUUAAUAAAACCCAAGCAUUCUUUUGUUGGUGUAAAGUUACAAUUUCUCACAUAUCUAUUUUUGUUGUAGGAUGUGCCAUAUGGAAGUACAGAGCUUAUACUCUAUAAUACAGAGCAGAAGGGAAGGCCGGUCAUUAAUGAAGUUUAAGUGUCGCUGCAUUUGCUUCACUGACAGAGUGAUGGCGCUGUUCCCUCUUUUGCACCACGUUUUCUUGUCUAGAUUCCAAAAUGAAUAAUGUAUGCUGUUAGACCAUGCUGUUCAUCUGUACAUUUCAUCAUACAGAAAUUCCUUAAUGAUGACUAUUGAGCGAUAUAAGGUAUACAGUUACUGCCUUAUGUUCAUUCUGUUAACUUAUGCCUUUAGCACACGAGUUAACAAUAAACGGAACAAUGUUGGCAAGUA